rnacentral:lncRNA from 1 species
GUUGGUGGGCAAUGGAGGCACUUCUAAGUCAGAAUAAGAAUGGAUACAACAUCACAUAUAGCACAUGCUCCUGCCUCCAGAUCUCAGGAAAAGAGAAAGGAAUGGCCUUUAGUUGGAAUUUCCUCACUCCUGUUUAGUCUCACGGCCAUGUUCAGCCUGGACUCUUCCCUCCCUCUGCGUUCUCCCUUGUAUCUGCAAUAAAAAUGUCUCCAUACUCCCUCGCCUACGUCUUCCCUAUCUAUGACUCCUGGCGCCUGCUACACCCUCUGGGACACCUAACACAUGGGCAUCUCCCUGGGUGGCUAUCGUGUGGGCAUCUUUCUGCUAUGCUUUCCAG